rnacentral:rRNA from 1 species
CCUACGGGUGGCAGCAGUGAGGAAUUUUGGUCAAUGGCCGAGAGGCUGAACCAGCCAAGUCGCGUGAGGGAAGAAUGUCCUAUGGAUUGUAAACCUCUUUUGUCAGGGAGCACAGUCACCCACGUGUGGGUGUUGGAGAGUACCUGAAGAAAAAGCAUCGGCUAACUCCGUGCCAGUAGCCGCGGUAAUACGGAGGAUGCGAGCGUUAUCCGGAUUUAUUGGUUUUAAAGGGUGCGCAGGCGGGUUGUUAAGUCAGCGGUAAAAUGGUGGAGCUAAACUCCAUCCAGCUGUUGAAACUGAUGAUCUUGAGUGGGAGAGAGGUAUGCGGAAUGCGUGGUGUAGCGAUGAAAUGCAUAGAUAUAACGAAGAACUCCGAUGGCGAAGGCAGCAUACUGGCGUCCGACUGACGCUGAAGCACGAAAGCGUGGGUAUCGAACAGGAUUAGAUACCCGAGUAGUC